AGAGUUUGAUCCUGGCUCAGGACGAACGCUGGCGGCGUGCCUAACACAUGCAAGUCGAGCGAUGAAGCCCUUCGGGGUGGAUUAGCGGCGGACGGGUGAGUAACACGUGGGUAACCUGCCUUAUAGAGGGGGAUAGCCUUCCGAAAGGAAGAUUAAUACCGCAUAACAUGUUUUUAUCGCAUGGUAGAAACAUCAAAGGA
rnacentral:rRNA from 1 species